rnacentral:rRNA from 1 species
UAGGGAAUCUUCCACAAUGGACGCAAGUCUGAUGGAGCAACGCCGCGUGAGUGAAGAAGGUUUUCGGACCGUAAAGCUCUGCUGUUGGUGAAGAAGGAUAGAGGUAGUAACUGGCCUUUAUUUGACGGUAAUCAACCAGAAAGUCACGGCUAACUACGUGCCAGCAGCCGCGGUAAUACGUAGGCGGCAAGCGUUGUCCGGAUUUAUUGGGCGUAAAGCGAGCGCAGGCGGAAGAAUAAGUCUGAUGUGAAAGCCCUCGGCUUAACCGAGGAAUUGCAUCGGAAACUGUUUUUCU